rnacentral:tRNA from 1 species
GAGGACUUAGCUUAAGAGGAAAGUGUCUGGUUUGCAUCCAGGAGAUGUAAGGUGAUUCUUGCAGUCCUUA